rnacentral:rRNA from 1 species
AGUGAACGCUGGCGGUAGGCCUAACACAUGCAAGUCGAACGGCAGCACAGUAAGAGCUUGCUCUUGCGGGUGGCGAGUGGCGGACGGGUGAGGAAUACAUCGGAAUCUACUUUUUCGUGGGGGAUAACGUAGGGAAACUUACGCUAAUACCGCAUACGACCUACGGGUGAAGGCAGGGGAUCUUCGGACCUUGCGCGAUUGAAUGAGCCGAUGUCGGAUUAGCUAGUUGGCGGGGUAAAGGCCCACCAAGGCGACGAUCCGUAGCUGGUCUGAGAGGAUGAUCAGCCACACUGGAACUGAGACACGGUCCAGACUCCUACGGGAGGCAGCAGUGGGGAAUAUUGGACAAUGGGCGCAAGCCUGAUCCAGCCAUACCGCGUGGGUGAAGAAGGCCUUCGGGUUGUAAAGCCCUUUUGUUGGGAAAGAAAAGCAGCAGGUUAAUACCCCGCUGUUCUGACGGUACCCAAAGAAUAAGCACCGGCUAACUUCGUG